rnacentral:sRNA from 2 species
GCAAAGAUUUUAGGUAACUGACACUCGUACUUCACAUUUUCUUCCACUCUUACUCCAAGUAGGGGUGAAAUGGUCUGACCACAAAUUAGCGCACGGAAGAGUGGUUUCAGGGAUUUUCGUGUUUUCACCUGCGAAAAGGGAUCUAGAUUCAGCCAAUGCAUUCGGAUCAAUGAUAGGAUGACUACAGGUUUCCCCAGCAUAAUGAUUGUUAUCACUCUUCUGGGAAAGUUAGGUCUCAGGAGCGAUACCUGGCACAGUCCGGUCGACGGUCAUGCGCAACCAUGCUAAGCAUUGCGUGAAGGAGCUAAUCCUGCCUGAAGAGGGA